GACGAACGCUGGCGGCGUGCUUAACACAUGCAAGUCGAACGGAAAGGCCCUGCUUUUGUGGGGUGCUCGAGUGGCGAACGGGUGAGUAACACGUGAGUAACCUGCCCUUGACUUUGGGAUAACUUCAGGAAACUGGGGCUACUACCGGAUAGGAGCUCCUGCUGCAUGGUGGGGGUUGGAAAGUUUCGGCGGUUGGGGAUGGACUCGCGGCUUAUCAGCUUGUUGGUGGGGUAGUGGCUUACCAAGGCUUUGACGGGUAGCCGGCCUGAGAGGGUGACCGGCGACAUUGGGACUGAGGUACGGCCCAGACUCCUACGGGAGGCAGCAGUGGGGAAUAUUGCACAAUGGGCGGAAGCCUGAUGCGGAAGCGCCGCGUGCGGGAUGACGGCCUUCGGGUUGUAAACCGCUUUCGCCUGUGACGAAGCGUGAGUGACGGUAAUGGGUAAAGAAGCACCGGCUAACUACGUG
rnacentral:rRNA from 1 species